rnacentral:tRNA from 2 species
GCGCUCAUAGCUCAGUUGGAUAGAGUGACGGACUACGAAUCCGUAGGUCGCAGGUUCGAAUCCUGCUGGGCGCACCA